CACGGCGCGGCUGGCUGGCAGGAAGGAUGGGAAAGAGGGAGGGAGUGGAUGAGCGAGCUGCGGAUGAGGGUUAAAGGUGCUGCUGGCAGGGAAGUUUGAAGGAGGUCGCCGCUUGUGCGCUCCGGCAGCAUCAUGGCGGAGCAGAGCGACUCGCCCAUUCACGUCCAGCAGCAGCAGGAGCAGCAGCAACAGCCGUCGCCGCAGCCCUCGCCGCCGCCGCCCCAGUCCCAGCCGCCGUUGCAACAGACCCAGCCGGCGCCCGCUGCGCCGCCCCCGACCCCCGCGCCGCCAGCCGUCGGCUGGCCCAUUUGCCGGGACGCCUACGAACUGCAGGAGGUGAUCGGUAGUGGUGCUACAGCUGUGGUCCAAGCGGCGCUAUGCAAACCCAGGCAAGAACGCGUAGCAAUAAAAAGGAUCAACUUGGAAAAAUGCCAGACCAGUAUGGAUGAAUUGCUUAAAGAAAUUCAAGCCAUGAGUCAAUGCAACCAUCCCAACAUAGUUACAUAUUAUACGUCUUUUGUGGUCAAGGAUGAACUCUGGUUGGUUAUGAAACUGCUAAGUGGAGGCUCCAUGCUGGACAUAAUAAAGUAUGUGGUCAACAGAGGAGAGCACAAGAGUGGAGUGCUUGAAGAAUCAAUAAUAGCAACAAUUCUUAAAGAGGUUUUGGAAGGCUUAGAUUAUCUACACAGGAACGGACAGAUUCACAGGGAUUUAAAAGCUGGUAAUAUUCUUCUGGGGGAAGAUGGCUCGGUACAAAUAGCAGACUUUGGCGUUAGCGCAUUUUUAGCCACAGGAGGAGACGUUACUCGGAACAAAGUAAGAAAAACAUUUGUUGGUACUCCAUGUUGGAUGGCCCCUGAAGUCAUGGAACAGGUGAGAGGCUAUGACUUCAAGGCUGAUAUUUGGAGCUUUGGAAUAACAGCCAUUGAAUUAGCAACAGGAGCUGCACCUUACCACAAAUAUCCUCCGAUGAAAGUAUUAAUGUUGACAUUGCAAAAUGACCCUCCAACGUUGGAAACAGGUGUGGAAGAUAAAGAAAUGACAAAAAAGUACGGCAAGUCCUUUAGAAAAUUAAUUUCGCUGUGUCUUCAGAAAGACCCUUCUAAAAGGCCUACAGCAGCAGAACUUUUAAAAUGCAAAUUCUUCCAGAAAGCAAAGACUAGAGAAUACUUGAUUGAAAAACUGCUUACAAAGACGCCUGACAUAGGACAAAGAGCCAAAAAGGUUAGAAGAGUACCAGGUUCCAGUGGCCAUCUCCACAAGACAGAAGAUGGAGAUUGGGAAUGGAGUGAUGAUGAAAUGGAUGAGAAGAGUGAAGAAGGCAAAGCUGCAUUUUCACAAGAAAAGUCACGAAGAGUAAAAGAGGAGGAAGAUGCUGAGAUUUCCAUGAAUUCCAGCAAUAUCCCCGAUCAAAUACAGAAUCUGUCUAUUAAAGGUUCUGAGACUCGGCCUGCUGUUAGUAAUGAAUUUGGUGAAGUUCCAUGUGCUGUGAAUCUUGUUUUAAGACUAAGGAAUUCCAGAAAGGAACUUAAUGACAUACGAUUUGAGUUUACUCCAGGCAGAGACACAGCAGAUGGCGUUUCUCAAGAGCUGUUCUCUGCAGGCCUGGUUGACGGCCACGAUGUAGUCAUAGUUGCUGCUAAUUUACAAAAAAUAGUAGAUGAUCCCAAGGCCUUGAAAACAUUAACCUUUAAGCUGGUAAGUACAGUACUGUGGCCAAUAAAGUAAUGUAAUAAAUAGAAAACAAUUACUGAUCUUUUGAGCCAGGUCUUCUUAAUUUCUAGUGCUUUAUUAGCUGCCUUUCUGCACCGAACAUUGACCUUUUCAACAUUUUAUUACCCUACACAAGCUGAAAAAGGAAAGCAGAAAACAGUUUUAAUUGUAUUAAAAAAACAACAACAAUUCACUAUCUGGAAAGGAUAAUUUGCAGAAAACAGCACUACUUAAUUGCACACACACAAAAAACCUUGGCAUAUGUAUCCAAAGACUCAACAGCUGCUCUUGAAGUUAAGCGACUAUUGAUGUCUUAGGUUUAUUGCUUAGGAAAAUAGCCAGGGCUUUCUGAUUGGGACCAGCUGAACUUAUGGCUCCUACAGUAUUUUCUAUAAAGAAGAGCAGAAUCUGAAGUCUUCUUCGUGGAGGGGACUUGCCAUUGUUUUGUGUUAACAGCACUGUGCUUGAAUUGCAAUGAGCACUGCAUUGUUCCCGAGAGCACCACAUGCUUAGUCGGAUGAAAUGGUGGUUUGGAGUUCUUACACAGCAUGUACUUUCGUUGCACGGGCGCUGCUAAUUCUCCAUGUUCAUAAACUUGCAGCUAAACGUGUCAAUUCCUUCCUUGGUGCAUAGUGGCUCGGAUUGUAAGGUAAGUUAACUUAAGGAGGUUCAUAGAAGGAAAGUUUGCCUUCCCCUCCGUCCCUCUGCAGCAACCUCAAAAAGCCUCUCCAGAGGACCCUUCUGAACAAAUUGGGAUGGGUUGCGGACAGCUAUUAGGGAAGUGGGUGGACCUACCUGAUGCGGGGAGUUUCUCCAUUUGUGAGCGAUUCUCCCCUAUUCCAGAUCCCCACCACUCCAUUCGAUACUGAGGAGCUAAUGUGCUCUGCUCUAUUUGCUAAGGGAGAGUGAAAGAAACAAGUGGGAUUUUUCAGCAAAACUGGAGAAUUUGUGGAUCACUUGCCAGAAAAAGGUUGUGCAGCUUUAACACGUAUAUGUCCAGUAAUUUAAAAUGGAUCGCAGCGGUGGUUGUUCUAAAGAAGCGUUCUGGUGGAGCCAAUUGACUAAGAUCUGUUUAGUUGUGAAAGAUAACUGCGACAUGUGAUAGGAAGCAACUGUAGAAUGGCCCAGGUGAGAGGCUGUCAUACAAAGCCAUCAAAUCACAAUACGAGUCAUUUAUGCCAAGGCUGUGUUUGGGAGCCAGUGAACCACAGAUGUAAUUGCUUUGUCGGGGCUAUAACGUAAUAUGGGUGGCAUUCAAGAUAAACAUGAAGCCAUGAUGUAGCAAAUGUUGUCUUAGCGAUUAGAAUUUAGUUCAGAAUUUAGUGCAACUCUUAUAUACUGAAAGAGGGAUUGUGGUGGAGUAGCAGCCACAGUUAAAGCUUGCAGUAAAAAGUAUUUAUUAUUGGAUGUGCUUCUGUAUUACAUUCUGCACAAAAAGACCUCCUUUCAGCUCUUGGAAUCAAUAAUGCACUUCAUUUAUUUGCAUAAAUGCAGUGCUUUUGCAUUUAAAAAGGUAUUGUCUACAUUGGGCUCUGAAGAUAAGUGCUGCAGAAACUAUGGUGGGUAGCAAUUUAGAUGCAAAAGAAACACAACUUAUUUCCAGAUGCUUCCUUUCUAUAAGGCUUUGUGGGGAAAUGCAUGGCCUCAUUUAGGAAACAAUGCUUGGGAGGAAACUCUUCAGUUAGGAACUAUUUAUUAUUUUAAAAAUGGUGAGCCACUAAGCAGCAAGGAAAGUACUAUGCUUCUACUAUAUGGUCUGUUCCCAAAUAAGGAUUGAAUAAACAAACAAACAAAGCAAUCCAUUAUUGCAAUUUUACACAUAACAUGAAUUCAAGUACCAAAAUGUUAAGGCACCUUGGCUGCUGUAAUCACACACAUUUCGCCAACGAAAGCUAGCUGGAAGGCUCUGGGCAAGUGGGUCCAGGGAGCAAUUAAUGCUUCUGUGGGGAAGCAGGUAUUGCUGCCUGACCUGAUUGAGACGACUGUAAGGCAUCUUCUCAAGAGGCCCUCCACAGAUGCAGAGGCAUUAGAUAACAGGAGUGUGUUUGUAAGGUGAUUGAGAGUGUGUAUGAGGACUGGUCGACUCCAGUUGUACCUGAAUGUAGUUGAUUACCUAGAUCAGUCUCUCUCAACUGUUGGACUACAACUCCCACCAUCCCUAGCUAGCAGGACCCAGUGGUCGGGGAUGAUGGGAUUUGUAGUCCAACAACAUCUGGGAACCCAAGGUUGAAAAAGGCUGAUGUAGACCAAGGAUGGGAAACUAUGUCUGGUUGGUUUUAUCUCCUCCUACCCCUGGAAAGUCAAAGUUGACAGUUGGGCGGGGCCACUCUUGACAAUCUCCUGAUGUCAUACUGAUGCCAGGUGAUGUGUCCCUUUGAAGCCCUGAUAGUUGGGAGUUUAAUGUGAACUGCAGGGCUCUCAGAACCCACAUUGCGAUUCUCCCUCUGUUAUAGGCAUCCAAUAAGAGACAUUUGUUUCUUUAGGCAGGCUUAUGGAAAUAACUGGUAUAAAAUCUAAAUUGUUCCCGGAUUCUUUUUUUUUAGAUGUGAGGUGUUUUUUUUUAAACCACUUCUCAAAUUUAUAUAAUAUAUACUAUUGCUUCUUUUAUCUUUUUCUUGAUAGCUCAAUAAGAUAAUAACAAAAAAAGUUUUGAUUUUUCUAAAGACGACAACAAAAUUCUUUUCUGCCUGCAGUAGAUGAAGCCUAUUCAAGAAUGGCUUAAAAUGGAUAUAUUCACAGAACGAUUAGGACAUGUUAACACUUGGGAUCAUUGACACAGGGUAGUUAAUUGCAGAAGUGCUAAAUUUAUGUUCUUGACAAACGUAUCAGUCUCUGCUGAUUUACAAUGUCAGACAACUGUGGCUUAUUUUUCAGCUUGCCCUCAGUAGGGAGAAGGGAGUGUGUGUCUCUAAGCUGUUGUUUUAAUUACUAAUAUUGAUUCAAAUAUCUAUCACAUCUUGAUAAAAUAAACGCGAAGUUGAGUUAAUGAAGGUCAGCUACAUUAGCCCUGUUGCAUUUUCCAGGAAAUUGGCUAGGGCAGGCUUGGAACAGGGGAGAAGUCCAAUACUGCAUAUUUAAAGGCCUUGCAUUUUGAAACAUAAAGAAAAUGGUUUGCAGCAGUAGCCGCCAACGUAGUACCCUCAAGCUGUCUUUAGACUACAGUGCCUAUUGUCCCUGACAAUUGAUCAUGUUAGCUGAAGCUGUUGGGCGCUGGUGCCUUUCAGAUGCUAUGGGCUCUAUGUUGGCUGCUCCUGGUGUAACUACUAAAACCUUUUCUCAUAAACACACAGGUCCAACCCCCUUUUAACAGGCCUGCUACCCAUUCAGGUGUCGUGAUUCAAGCUACACCCCCCACUCUUGUAGAUACCCCCUUUAAAAAAAUAAAUAAAAAAAUCUGGAUUGUAUUUUAAUCUGCAUUUUAAUCGAUUGUUUUUCUUUCUCUUACGUUUUGUUGUGAUCUUGUUGAUGUCAGCCGCCCUGAGCCCGGCUCUCGCUGGGGAGGGCGGGGUAUAAAUAAAAUAUUAUUAUUAUUAUUAUUAUUAUUAUUAUUAUUAUUAUUAGCAGUGAAUAUUAGCAUGCAAGGGGUUUUUAAAACACUUUUUGGUGUUAGAAAGUAGGAAUAGGAGUAGGAUAUACCCAGGGCUUUUUUUCAACUGGAACUCAGUUCCGCCACCUCUCAGGUGGGCGCCAUUGCCAUUCUAAGAGAACAAGGGAGGCGUUCGUGGUGAGUUCCGGCACCUCUUUUUCUAGAAAAAUAGCACUGGGUAUACCACAAAUAAAUCCUUGCUGUGAUAGAGGCCAAAGGCUGCUUGAACUUAAGACAAGAGAGAUAUUUCACUCCUUGGUCUGUAUUAGAAGGCAAUGACAGCCGUAAAAAAACCAUAGUUCUCAACCCUCAGCAAACUUGUUAAGAUGUACAGACAAGGGUCUAACAUAUGCUGGAAAUGCUCAGAGGUUGAGGGAAUCUUUAUCCAGAAGCUGAAGGGGGGGGGAAUCCAACUGAAGAACAAUGGCUGUAUAAACUAAAAUAAUUUGCAGAACUUGCAAAUCUCAGAGCCAAAAUAAGAAAUCAAGAUGGAAAAACAAAAACAAAGGGUGAGUGGUACAGCUUUGGGGAAUAUUUUAAAAAAUUCAAUACUAAAAUCAAUCUACAAGUAAGGGUAAUUCUAUAAACAACAGUUAAACACAACGAAGGAAUAGGAGGAGAAAACUAGGGUGGAGUAACAAGAGCUAGGUUUGUUAAGAAUGCCAUGGAAUGUAAGGCUGGGAAGUCUGCACAAAAUUUCUGUACGAUGGUAAAAUGUGCGUAAAUAGAAAAUGCACAAACAAUUUUUAAAAAAGUAUAAUGUGCAUUAAAUUAAAGAGGUUAUGAAGAUAUUAUGCAAGCAUAUAGAUAGGUAUGCCUCAACACAUAUUAUGGCUUGAUGCCUAUAUGAUAUGCUGUGUAUCUGUCAGAUGUAACAUAAUAAAAGGCUUUGAAAAUGCUUGCAAAACAAACAAACCAUAGUUCUCCUUACACACAUUGACAUUUUUGUGGGCUUUCCCUCCUGCUUUUCCCC